UAGCCAUUGUGUCUGUGUCUGU
rnacentral:siRNA from 1 species